AAAUUGAAGAGUUUGAUCAUGGCUCAGAUUGAACGCUGGCGGCAGGCCUAACACAUGCAAGUCGAACGGUAACAGGAAACAGCUUGCUGUUUCGCUGGCGAGUGGCGGACGGGUGAGUAAUGUCUGGGAAACUGCCUGAUGGAGGGGGAUAACUACUGGAAACGGUAGCUAAUACCGCAUAACGUCGCAAGACCAAAGAGGGGGACCUUCGGGCCUCUUGCCAUCGGAUGUGCCCAGAUGGGAUUAGCUAGUAGGUGGGGUAACGGCUCACCUAGGCGACGAUCCCUAGCUGGUCUGAGAGGAUGACCAGCCACACUGGAACUGAGACACGGUCCAGACUCCUACGGGAGGCAGCAGUGGGGAAUAUUGCACAAUGGGCGCAAGCCUGAUGCAGCCAUGCCGCGUGUAUGAAGAAGGCCUUCGGGUUGUAAAGUACUUUCAGCGGGGAGGAAGGGAGUAAAGUUAAUACCUUU
rnacentral:rRNA from 1 species